CAGUCGACCAUUGUAGAGAGAGGUAUCAAAUCAAUUCAAAAAACCACUCCGACAAUGGCGGUCUCUCAGCAUAUUUCGCCUAGUCUUUCCCGCUACAAAUUCUUCUCUACAUCCGUAGUUGAAAACCCUAAUUUCUCUACAUAUCAUAUCUACAGUCGGCGGAGUAGAGUUACCAAAUCGCAUCUUCAGGCGCACAGCAGUACCAGUAGCUAUGGCCGGACGGAACUCGCCGCCUCCGCGAAGAAGCUAUGGAUUAGGCAACGAAGCUUCAGCGAAACGGAGGUUGAACAAGGCCAAUUUGAAGAUGAAGAGGAGCAGGAAGACAUCGAUAUCAGUGACGAGGCGAGUCUCCUCUCCUUGAGCAUGAAACCGGACAGAAACAUGGCGUUGCUCGACGAUUAUGAGAUGGAGGAGCUCGGUCACACACCUGAUACUAAUCAUCGCAGCGGAUACGUGGCGGUGCUUGGGAUGCCCAACGUCGGGAAAAGCACGCUUUCGAAUCAAAUGAUUGGUCAGAAAAUUUCCAUUGUUACAGAUAAACCUCAAACGACGAGGCAUCGGAUUCUCGGUAUCUGUUCUAGCCCAGAAUAUCAGAUGAUACUUUAUGACACACCUGGUGUAAUCGAGAAGAAGAUGCACAGGUUAGAUACAAUGAUGAUGAAGAAUGUCCGAGAUGCUGCCAUCAAUGCCGAUUGCGUGGUAGUGCUUGUUGAUGCAUGUAAAAUGCCUGCAAAUAUAGAAGAAGUUUUGAAAGAGGGCUUGGGAAACCUCGAAAAAAGGCCACCUAUGUUGCUUGUUAUGAAUAAGAAAGAUCUGAUCAAACCUGGUGAGAUUGCAAAGAAACUGGAGUGGUAUGAAAAAUUUACAGACGUUGAUGAAGUUAUACCUGUAAGUGCAAAGUAUGGACAUGGAGUAGAGGAUGUAAAAGAGUGGAUACUAUCCAAGCUUCCCUUUGGGCCUCCUUAUUAUCCAAAGGAUAUUGUGAGUGAGCACCCAGAGAGAUUCUUUGUUGCUGAGAUUGUUAGAGAGAAGAUUUUUAUGCAGUACCGAAAUGAAGUUCCUUAUGCAUGUCAGGUGAACGUGCUCAGCUACAAAACUAGACCGGCUGCAAAAGAUUUUAUUCAAGUGGAAGUAGUAGUUGACAAAAAUUCUCAGAAGAUCAUCCUUAUAGGAAAAGAAGGGAAGGCUUUGAAAACGCUAGCAACGGCUGCUAGGCUCGACAUUGAAGAUUUCCUUCAGAAAAAAGUCUUCCUCGAGGUGGAAGUAAAAGUGAAAGAGAACUGGAGACAAGACGAGGGACUUCUCAAGUACUAUGGCUAUGGAGGACAGAUCCGAGCUAUGUAGUAGUGACCAGUGACGGUGUAGCGGUUUAUGGGCUUUAAAUGGGCAUUGAAGAUGAGAAAGUGCAAAUGGCACGGUUCAGGUUGUAAGUAUACUCUCAACCUAACAUACAAAAAAUUGCAAUAUAUUUUACUUUUUAUAAAAGUAAAAAAGAAGCUGAACCGUGAUUUAUGGCGGCGGGGGGGGGGAUAAGUAGAGUGAAUUGCUGUGUGGGUUUGGGUCGGGUCGUUGAAAGUUAGAUCCGCUUGUUGCGCUUAAGCCUGCCUCUUCUGGAUGAUAAAGUGCGAGUGAG